AUUCAAUCCAAACAAGCAUCUACUUCGUCCGGUUCAAACACCACAGACCCAAACCAGUCAACAUGUCUCCCUGCAACUGCAACUGCUGCUCCGGCGACUGCAACUCUUGCUCCUGCAGCAGCUGCACCGUAUGUCACC
rnacentral:sRNA from 1 species